CUACAGAACAGUUACAACAACCUGACUAAAGGGAGAGACCAGCUACAGACUGAGAGAGAUUUUCUUAGCGGGUGGCUUACCAAUUGCAGCUGGCAGAAGUUUGAAUCCAGUUGGUACUUCCUGUCUACUGAGACUAAAACCUGGAAUGAGAGCAGAGAGGACUGUCUGAAGAGAGGAGCAGACCUGGUGAUCAUAAACAGCAGAGAGGAACAGACAUUUCUCUUCAACCUCAAGAAGAGAGUCUGGAUUGGUCUGACUGACUCUGUUAAGGAGGGGACCUGGAAAUGGGUGGACGGCACCCCACUGACCACAGGGU